UACGUAGGGUGCAAGCGUUGUCCGGAAUUAUUGGGCGUAAAGAGCUCGUAGGCGGUUUGUCGCGUCUGCUGUGAAAACCCGAGGCUCAACCUCGGGCCUGCAGUGGGUACGGGCAGGCUAGAGUGCGGUAGGGGAGAUUGGAAUUCCUGGUGUAGCGGUGGAAUGCGCAGAGUAUCAGGAGGAACACCAAUGGCGAAGGCAGAUCUCUGGGCCGUAACUGACGCUGAGGAGCGAAAGCGUGGGGAGCGAACAGG
rnacentral:rRNA from 1 species